rnacentral:rRNA from 1 species
AGUGAACGCUGGCGGUAGGCCUAACACAUGCAAGUCGAACGGCAGCACAGUAAGAGCUUGCUCUUACGGGUGGCGAGUGGCGGACGGGUGAGGAAUACAUCGGAAUCUACUUUUUCGUGGGGGAUAACGUAGGGAAACUUACGCUAAUACCGCAUACGACCUACGGGUGAAAGCAGGGGAUCUUCGGACCUUGCGCGAUUGAAUGAGCCGAUGCCGGAUUAGCUAGUUGGCGGGGUAAAGGCCCACCAAGGCGACGAUCCGUAGCUGGUCUGAGAGGAUGAUCAGCCACCCUGGAACUGGGACACGGUCCAGACUCCUACGGGAGGCAGCAGUGGGGAAUAUUGGACAAUGGGCGCAAGCCUGAUCCAGCCAUACCGCGUGGGUGAAGAAGGCCUUCGGGUUGUAAAGCCCUUUUGUUGGGAAAGAAAAGCAGCAGGUUAAUACCCCGCUGUUCUGACGGUACCCAAAGAAUAAGCACCGGCUAACUUCGUG